rnacentral:sRNA from 1 species
CUGGUCUCAAACUGAGCUCAAGUGAUCUGCCCACCUCAGCCUCCCAAAGUGUUGAGAUUACAGGCAGGAGCCAUCGCGCCUGGCCUGCCAGGGAAAAUUCUAAGAGUGGCGUGUGGAGGAGACCAAGCAGUGGUGGUCUACCUAACCAAUGGACAGCCUUCCAUCGAGCGGUUCCCCAUCAGCUUUAAAACCUACUUCUCAGGAAACUACUUUCACCAUGUUGUGCUGGGGAUUUACUGCAAUGGCCGCUAUGGCUCACUGGGCAUGAGCCGCAGGGCUGAGCUGAUGGACAAGCCAUUGACUUUUCGGACUCUGAGUGACCUCAUCUUUGACUUUGAGGACUCCUACAAGAAAUACCUGCACACAGUCAAGAAGGUCAAGAUUGGGCUGUACGUCCCCCAUGAGCCUCAUAGCUUCCAGCCCAUUGAGUGGAAGCAGCUGGUCCUCAACGUCUCAAAGAUGCUGAGGGCUGACAU